rnacentral:lncRNA from 1 species
UAAUGCAGGAUCCUGAACGGUUCAUUUGUUAGUUUGCUGGCCAUCAGUACUCAGUACUUUAUUCAUGACAUUGGCUGUGUGGUGUUCCAUUAAUUACUGGAUUUGAUAGACAGCAUCCUUCUUUUGGUUUUGUUAUACAUCUUGUUUCUUACCCGUAAGCUUGUUUUUUCUUUCUUCGCCAAAAUAAAGCUGAAUUAUAUUAUUGAAACAAG